GAGUUUGAUCCUGGCUCAGGACGAACGCUGGCGGCGUGCUUAACACAUGCAAGUCGAGCGGAAAGGCCCUUCGGGGUACUCGAGCGGCGAACGGGUGAGUAACACGUGAGUAACCUGCCCUUGACUUUGGGAUAACCCUCGGAAACGGGGGCUAAUACCGAAUAUUACUGCCGGGUGCAUGUCUGGUGGUGGAAAGCUUUUGCGGUCAGGGAUGGGCUCGCGGCCUAUCAGCUUGUUGGUGGGGUGAUGGCCUACCAAGGCGACGACGGGUAGCCGGCCUGAGAGGGCGACCGGCCACACUGGGACUGAGACACGGCCCAGACUCCUACGGGAGGCAGCAGUGGGGAAUAUUGCACAAUGGGCGGAAGCCUGAUGCAGCGACGCCGCGUGAGGGAUGACGGCCUUCGGGUUGUAAACCUCUUUCAGCUCCGACGAAGCGUAAGUGACGGUAGGAGCAGAAGAAGCGCCGGCCAACUACGUGCCAGCAGCCGCGGUAAGACGUAGGGCGCAAGCGUUGUCCGGAUUUAUUGGGCGUAAAGAGCUCGUAGGCGGCGUGUCGCGUCGACUGUGAAAACCCGCAGCUCAACUGCGGGCCUGCAGCCGAUACGGGCAGGCUAGAGUUCGGUAGGGGAGACUGGAAUUCCUGGUGUAGCGGUGAAAUGCGCAGAUAUCAGGAGGAACACCGGUGGCGAAGGCGGGUCUCUGGGCCGAUACUGACGCUGAGGAGCGAAAGCGUGGGGAGCGAACAGGAUUAGAUACCCUGGUAGUCCACGCUGUAAACGUUGGGCGCUAGGUGUGGG
rnacentral:rRNA from 1 species